CAGAUUUUGAUUUUUGAUUUUGACCACGGUGCCACCAAAAAUUGUGUUAUUAUUGUAUUUAUUUAAAUGAAUCUUAAAAACACAUACAUCAAAAAAUAGCCAAAUCCCUACGCAUCCCACUUAACCAACAUCUCAAACAAAUUUAUAGCGAUCGGCCAAAUAUCCUGUGAUAAAAAAUCAGUUCUAAACGUGGCGUAACAAGAUACCUCAAUUCGUAAGAUUUUGGGGUAUUUCUUGGCUGUGAGUACUACAGCGCCCACAUGGUCCAGUUAGCAAAACACAGUUACGUAAACUUAGCUAACAGGCGCCGAAUGUCAAAACAAAUGUCAAGAUGAAAUCAAAACAGCCCCCAAAAGAAAUCCUUUCCCCGAUAUGAAAUCUUACAAAACAAGAAUGCGGAAUCCGAACGGGAGAAUGCCAAUAAAAAACAAACAGGAUAUCGCGACUAAUCAACAACAGAUAACCAGUGAGAAAAUAUGAAGUACCGACACAACAGCAAAACCAAACAGAUCAGACACGUCACAGGGUGCAAAGCCACAACGAAGGGACUCCUAAGGGACAAGCUCAGGAAACGCAUAGUCUCGGGGUAAUGUUUUACAUUGCCACCAUAAUGGCCCCUCAAACAGAAUUUAUUAAUAAGGCACGAAAACAUGAAAAAAGUAUGUCUCUAUGAUGGCCAUUAUGUUUCCAAAGCCUUUCUUCUGAGGCAUCGAAGAUAUUUAAUAAUACUUGAAAAAGAUCUAAAAUAUGACUGAACCACAACUUUUAAUACACCUUCGAAUUUGGAAUUAAAAGCACUUUAAAUGUUUGAUAUCGAAAAAUUAGGUCGGUUCUUGAAAAAAAAUGUUUAUGAUGGUGGCUCAAAGAAGAAACCUCCGAUCUAAAAUUAAAUAGAGGCAUCUUA